rnacentral:rRNA from 1 species
AAACCAACAGGGAUUGCCUUAGUAGCGGCGAGUGAAGCGGCAAAAGCUCAAAUUUGAAAUCUGGCGCCUUCGGUGUCCGAGUUGUAAUUUGAAGAUUGUAACCUUGGGGUUGGCUCUUGUCUAUGUUUCUUGGAACAGGACGUCACAGAGGGUGAGAAUCCCGUGCGAUGAGAUGCCCAAUUCUAUGUAAGGUGCUUUCGAAGAGUCGAGUUGUUUGGGAAUGCAGCUCUAAGUGGGUGGUAAAUUCCAUCUAAAGCUAAAUAUUGGCGAGAGACCGAUAGCGAACAAGUACAGUGAUGGAAAGAUGAAAAGAACUUUGAAAAGAGAGUGAAAAAGUACGUGAAAUUGUUGAAAGGGAAGGGUUUGAGAUCAGACUCGAUAUUUUGUGAGCCUUGCCUUCGUGGCGGGGUGACCCGCAGCUUAUCGGGCCAGCAUCGGUUUGGGCGGUAGGAUAAUGGCGUAGGAAUGUGACUUUACUUCGGUGAAGUGUUAUAGCCUGCGUUGAUGCUGCCUGCCUAGACCGAGGACUGCGAUUAUCAAGAUGCGUCA